rnacentral:rRNA from 1 species
AUUGAACGCUGGCGGCAGGCUUAACACAUGCAAGUCGAGCGGGGACUUCGGUCCUAGCGGCGAACGGGUGAGGAAUGCUUGGGAAUCUGCCCAGUAGCGGGGGAUAACGUUUCGAAAGGAACGCUAAUACCGCAUACGCCCUACGGGGGAAAGGGGGGGACCUUCGGACCUCUCACUAUUGGAUGAGCCCAAGUCGGAUUAGCUAGUUGGUGGGGUAAAGGCCUACCAAGGCGACGAUCCCUAGCUGGUCUGAGAGGAUGAUCAGCCACACUGGAACUGAGACACGGUCCAGACUCCUACGGGAGGCAGCAGUGGGGAAUAUUGCACAAUGGGGGAAACCCUGAUGCAGCCAUGCCGCGUGUGUGAAGAAGGCCUUCGGGUUGUAAAGCACUUUCAGCGAGGAGGAAAGGUUGGUAGCUAAUAACUGCCAGCUGUGACGUUACUCGCAGAAGAAGCACCGGCUAACUCUGUGCCAGCAGCCGCGGUAAGAC